ensembl:lncRNA
UGCAGACAGUGAAAAUAUUUUAUUGAAUUUUAAAAGUAAUUAUGCCAGUCACAUUAAAUAAGUAUCAUAGGACAAAAUAGAGCACAACUACUUAAUCUUUUUACAUGUAUAUAAUAUUUAUAUAUUUACUUAAUGAUUUUAACUUUGGUUACUUUGGUUAUAGGUGUAUAUAAAAAUGUUUAUUUAAAUAAUUGUCCAGUAACUAGUAAGUGAAUUUUAAUAAAAUCAAUACAUCUGCCAAAAGUAAACUUUGAACAACUAAUAAACCACAAUUGAUAAUGCUUGAUUUUAUGUUUCAUUAGUGAACUAAAAUUUUCUCUUUCCAAACGUGUUACACUUCAUAGUCUGCACUGUUUCACUGCUUAAAAUUUUAAACACCAAUAAAAACUGUAAGUGGUUACACAGAAUGACAGAAUUGGAGCCAUUCAAGCUUUUUGCUUUACCUUUACAAUCACUGUCCAUUAUCAUUUACUUCAAAUAUAUUAUUUAAAUGCAGGGAUAUGGAGAAACACAGGGGUUGGAGAUGUGAACUGUGCCCCAGUAGGCUUGAAUGAUUCGAAAACAGUAAACUUCAUCGCUAAAUGAAGACGUGAAGCUGAGUCUGUGUGUGUUGGGGGCCCACUGCACACCUGGGAGCUCUCAAUUAAUUCCCAUGUGGAAUACAAGCUGUAUUAAAGGACAAGUAAGAUAAAUGUGCUAAUUUGAAGCUUUUGUAUGUAUCAUCAAAACUCAACAGAACUUAGACCCACUGAAGAUGUUUAAGAGAAGGAGAAUUUUAUCACAGAUCUCGCCAAGUACAUGGUGAGAAAAAAACCGACUGGCCUUUAGUCUUAAUUACCUGAUUGUUCUUUAAUUGUCGGUAUUAAAUGGCCAGGCAGCCACUCCCACCUUAAUGUGUCACGGUCAUGGGCCAACCAUUCACCAGCUGCUCGGUCCAAGAAAGGACACUCGCUGUUUCUACUCAACCCACCAUUCACACCUCACCCUCUCAUCUUAGCUUCUGCUCCCAAAAAUCUUUUCUUACCACAGUGUCCUCCACUUUGUCGAAUCCAGCACACAUCUCACUGGGCUUUUCAGCAUCAUCCAACCAACUGACCAUGUUUUCUUUCUGGAAACAUUCUUCUUGUUUCCAGAAACAAGUACUUUUGUACUUUUUCCAGAAACACGUACUUUUCUUCCCAUGUGUCCAGUCACUCUUUCCUAGUCUCCCUUACUGGGUCACCUUCCUACGCACAUGCACCCAUUAAACGUUGGUGUCCUGAGGGCCUGGUCCAGCAUCUCUUCUCUCCUGUUCUAUGCUCACUGGAAUCGAAUUGACUCCCAUCACACCAAACACGCUUUACCG